AUCAUAGGUAUCACAAAUAGAGGACUAGCUUAAUAAGUACAAAACCAAGUGCCUUACUGGAAACCACUCUGCGCCUUUCAAGGUCUCUCGUAAAGGAGAGAGAGAGAGAGAGAGAGAGAGAGAGAGAGAGAGAGAGAGAGAGUGGCAACUGCGAUUCACUUUUCAUAUAUGCUGCAUGCAAACAUGUGAGUAUCACCUUCCCCUUUUUUAAAAUACAUAAGUAAAGUCAUGUCUACUCCACAGAACAGAAUUUUGCAUCCUCCAUCACACACCAAUGUCACACAGACAAUAAUCUACCUCACAUAUAUUAUAGUAUAUAAAUAAAGUACUCAAUCAACAGCUGUAAAUUCUCG